CCACCACUACAGACUGGCUGUGCUCCCUGCCCUGUCUCCAUGGAGACCAACUGCUACAGAGGGAGAGGAAGUUGGCCGAGGUGCAGACUCUGGUCCUAAAGGAGUGCCUGAGACGUAGAGAAGAGGCAGAGAAACCAGCUUCAAUACCAGUAAAUGACCUGAAGAUCUUGCUCAGCCUGGCCAGAGAACAGUACCUCAAGAUGCAUGACUCUACCCUGCCUAAAGCCUCUACCCUGCCUAAAGACUCUAGUCUGCCCAGAGUUGAGCCCUGUGGAGCAGAGGAGGUGAACCUCACUACGAAGACUACAGAGUUCAUUAAACACUCCCAACAUGCUGAUUGGCCAGAGAGAAGUGUUCUGCAG